AUUGAACGCUGGCGGCAGGCUUAACACAUGCAAGUCGAGCGGUAACAGAGAGAAGCUUGCUUCUCUGCUGACGAGCGGCGGACGGGUGAGUAAUGCCUAGGAAUCUGCCUAGUAGUGGGGGAUAACUUGCCGAAAGGUAAGCUAAUACCGCAUACGUCCUACGGGAGAAAGGAGGGGACCUUCGGGCCUUUCGCUAUUAGAUGAGCCUAGGUCGGAUUAGUUAGUUGGUGAGGUAAUGGCUCACCAAGACCGCGAUCCGUAACUGGUCUGGGAGGAUGAUCAGUCAAACUGGAACUGGGACACGGUCCAGACUCCUACGGGAGGCAGCAGUGGGGAAUAUUGGACAAUGGGGGGAACCCUGAUCCAGCCAUGCCGCGUGUGUGAAGAAGGUCUUAGGAUUGUAAAGCACUUUAAGUUGGGAGGAAGAGCAGUUAACUAAUAUUUGACUGUUUUGACGUUACCGACAGAAUAAGCACCGGCUAACUUCGUGCCAGCCGCCGCCGUAA
rnacentral:rRNA from 1 species